UCCCUGGUGGUGUAGUGGUUAAUGAAUCAGCAUUGUCACUGCUGUGGCUCAGGUUAAAUUCCUGGCCCUGGAA
rnacentral:tRNA from 1 species